rnacentral:lncRNA from 1 species
CUGCCCACAGUCAUGGAUUCUCUCCUCUUUAGCAGUUUAGAUAGCUAGCCUGGUGAUGAGGAGCACUUGGUAAGCUUAGUCCUUUUCAGCUUCUCUUCUUUUUUUUUUUUUGAUAUUUAUUCUUAAGCUUUAGGUGGAGACAAUAUCUUUAUUUUACAUUUAUGUGGUGCUGAGGAUCAAACCCGGUGCCUUGUGCAUGCUAAGCGAGCGCUCUACCACUGAGCCACAACCCCAGCCCCAAAGCUUGUCUUCUUUUCAGGUCUUGAUUGAAAUCAAGUUGCCAAGCUUGAAGUGAUGAACUGAGAACUCCAAAAGCAGAGUCUGAAGGCAGCUCAUAAUAAUUGAGCUAGCGAAAAACAAAAACCAAAACAGAGACACAGGUCAAGUCUGCCUAGGGAAGAGUUAGAAAGAUUUGUAGGUCGCAAAUUGACUUAGAAAAAACUUGUGACUCGGAGAUUUUUGUGAUAUUUUAUCAGGCACUCCUGUAUAAAAAUCCUCCCUUUAUAACCUCACAGUUUUACUUAAUUUCAGGAGGACUGAUACAAAUAUGCAUCUGAGGUAACAGUAAUGGAACCAUCGUCUUAUUUUAAAUGUCCAUGUAUGACUGGCGCAGUGGUGUAUUUCUGUAAUCCCACCAACUUGGGAGGCCGAGGCAGGAGGAUUGAAAGUUCAAAGUCAACCUAAGCAGUUUAUCAA